rnacentral:rRNA from 1 species
GCGCAAGUCCAUCGGGAAAUCCACCCGCCCAACGGGUGGCCGUCCGGUGGAAACUGCACGGCUUGGGACCGGAAGGCGCGACGGGUACGUCCGGGGUAGGAGUGAAAUCCCGUAAUCCUGGACGGACCGCCGAUGGCGAAAGCACGUCGCGAGAACGGAUCCGACAGUGAGGGACGAAAGCCAGGUUCUCGAACCGGAUU